rnacentral:miRNA from 1 species
CACUGUGGAGGGUUUCUAUGUCA